AGUCGAGGCGGAGAAGACGGGCGCACAAUCCCCAAAUUACGGAAACUGCCCGUCUCUUCACACCUCUGAGGCAAAUGGCCGGCGCCACGAACCGGAGCGAGGGAAAGAUGAGAGAAGAGACGCGCUGUGCUGUAUAAAAUACAUUCUCCAGGUUUACUAUAUCUGAUCUAUUUCAUCAUUGUGUUUUCACAGCCUGAGCCCCCCCACACACACAACGAGGCAGUCACUGCACAUUUGGCCGAGACUCUAGCUGCAAGUCCGGAUUUGCAGUGUGGAAAAUGACGCCAUUGUCCCUGCCUGUACUAUGACGUACUAAGACGUACUAUGAGCCAGUAUGAAGGAACUUCCUGUA